rnacentral:rRNA from 1 species
GACAGAGGGUGCAAACGUUGUUCGGAAUUACUGGGCGUAAAGCGCGUGUAGGCUGCCCGGCAAGUCGGAUGUGAAAGCCCUGGGCUUAACCUAGGAAGUGCAUUCGAAACUGCUGGGCUUGAGUUCUGGAGAGGAAGGCGGAAUUCUCGGUGUAGAGGUGAAAUUCGUAGAUAUCGAGAGGAACACCGGUGGCGAAGGCGGCCUUCUGGACAGUGACUGACGCUGAGACGCGAAAGCGUGGGGAGCAAACAGG